rnacentral:rRNA from 1 species
GACGAACCGUGCGAACGUUAUUCGGAAUCACUGGGCUUAAAGCGCGUGUAGGCGGGUGGGGACGUCGGUCGCUGAAAUCCCCCGGCUCAACCGGGGAACGGGCGCCGAAACGCCCCGUCUGGAGGGACGUAGGGGGACCUGGAACUUCCGGUGGAGCGGUGAAAUGCGUUGAGAUCGGAAGGAACGCCCGUGGCGAAAGCGAGGUCCUGGACGUCUUCUGACGCUGAGACGCGAAAGCUAGGGUAGCGAACGGG